rnacentral:rRNA from 1 species
UGGGGAAUUUUCCGCAAUGGGCGCAAGCCUGGCGGAGCAAUACCGCGUGAGGGAGGAAGGCUUUUGGGUUGUAAACCUCUUUUCUUAGGGAAGAAGAACUGACGGUACCUAAGGAAUCAGCAUCGGCUAACUCCGUGCCAGCAGCCGCGGUAAUACGGAGGAUGCAAGCGUUAUCCGGAAUUAUUGGGCGUAAAGCGUCCGCAGGUGGCUUUUCAAGUCUGCUGUCAAAGACCAGAGCUCAACUCUGGGCAGGCGGUGGAAACUGGAGAGCUAGAGUACGGUAGGGGUUGAGGGAAUUCCCAGUGUAGCGGUGAAAUGCGUAGAUAUUGGGAAGAACACCAGUGGCGAAGGCGCUCAACUGGGCCGUAACUGACACUCAGGGACGAAAGCUAGGGGAGCGAAAGGGAUUAGAUACCCCCGUAGUCC